CAGCGCACUGUGCCCACGCCUUGAAGGCCCCGAGAAGCCUGUCUGUUCUUGCCAUCGGCAAAGACCGCACAGAGAGGAAGCUGGAGCUGUGGGCGAACAAUAAACAGCAUCUUGAGAAGCAGUGUAGCCAGGCGUGGUGGCGAACGCCUGUGAUCCCGGCACUCGGGAGGCUGAGGCAGGAGGAUCACUAUGAGUUCAAGAACAGCCUGGAUUACAUAGUGAGUUCAAGGCCAGCCUGGAUCACAUGUUCAGUGCUGACCGGAAGCUCAAGGAAGCAUGAGGCAGACGAAGAAGAAGAUGGAGGUGGUGACAACAGCAGGAGCAAGAGAGGGAGAGAGGAUGUGACAAAGUAGAGCAGCCACAACUCUGCCCUCCAGGACACAGAGCUCUGCAGGGCAGGACAAAGAGCUUCCUCCUCCUCCUCCUCCUCCUCCUGCUCCUCACCACGUUCCCACAUCUAAGGGCCAUCCCCAGGAGGGAACAAGCCUUUCCCAGCAGCAACCUUUAUCUUGCAACCCCUGUUAUCUAAACAAAGCCCUAGGGGCCCUCAGCCUUACCUGAGCAGCUCCCUCCAGCAUUUACAUAAAGUCGGCUCUGGAACACAGCUGCAGAGGCUGGGGUGACAGGCCUGGCAGUCAGGGGGCACUUUUUGAAAGUUUGCUUCAGCAUGGAAGGACUGGGUCUGUAGGAAGGCAAAGGGGUGUGCACAGGCAUAUUACUUACCUAAUUUAAGACUUUCAAUAUAGAAAUGGACUAGAGCACACAGGACAAAUGCUAACAUAAAUGAACUCUUCAUGUUAUGGAACUAUACACCG
ensembl:lncRNA